UACGUAGGGUGCGAGCGUUAAUCGGAAUUACUGGGCGUAAAGCGUGCGCAGGCGGUGAUGUAAGACAGGUGUGAAAUCCCCGGGCUUAACCUGGGAACUGCAUUUGUGACUGCAUCGCUGGAGUGCGGCAGAGGGGGAUGGAAUUCCGCGUGUAGCAGUGAAAUGCGUAGAGAUCGGAAAGAACACCAACGGCGAAAGCACUCUGCUGGGCCGACACUGACACUGAGAGACGAAAGCUAGGGGAGCGAAUGGG
rnacentral:rRNA from 1 species